CAGCCGCCGCGGUAAUACGGAGGGAGCUAGCGUUGUUCGGAACUACUGGGCGUAAAGCGUGCGUAGGCGGUUCGUUAAGUCUGUUGUGAAAGCCCCGGGCUCAACCUGGGAAUGGCAAUGGAUACUGGCGAGCUAGAGUGUGUCAGAGGAUGGUGGAAUUCCCGGUGUAGCGGUGAAAUGCGUAGAGAUCGGGAGGAACAUCAGUGGCGAAGGCGGCCAUCUGGGACAACACUGACGCUGAGGCACGAAAGCGUGGGGAGCAAACAGGUUUAGAUACCCCGGUAGUCCCUGUCUCUUAUAC
rnacentral:rRNA from 1 species